CCUACGGGUGGCUGCAGUGGGGGAUAUUGCACAAUGGGGGAAACCCUGAUGUAGCGACGCCGCGUGGGUGAAGAAGCGCCUCGGCGCGUAAAGCCCUGUCAGCAGGGAAGAAAAUGACGGUACCUGAAGAAGAAGCCCCGGCGAACUACGUGCCAGAAGCCGCGGUAAUCCGUAGGGGGCAAGCGUUAUCCGGAUUUACUGGGUGUAACGGGGGCGCAGACGGCGAUGCAAGCCAGGAGUGAAAGCCCGGGUCCCAACCGCGGGACUGCUCUUGGAACUGCGUGGCUAGAGUGCAGGAGGGGCAGGCGGAAUGCCUGGUGUAGCGGUGAAAUGCGUAGAUAUCAGGAGGAACACCGGUGGCGAAGGCGGCCUGCUGGACUGCAACUGACGUUGAGGCCCGAAAGCGUGGGGAGCAAACAGGAUUAGAUACCCGAGUAGUC
rnacentral:rRNA from 1 species